GCCCUGGUGGUGAAACUGGUAGACACGCUAUCUUGAGGGGGUAGUGCCGAAAGGCGUCGCGGUUCGAGUCCGCGCCAGGGCA
rnacentral:tRNA from 1 species